rnacentral:rRNA from 1 species
GAUGAACGCUGGCGGCGUGCCUAAUACAUGCAAGUCGAGCGAACAGACGAUGAGCUUUCUCCUCUGACGUUAGCGGCGGACGGGUGAGUAACACGUGGAUAACCUACCUAUAAGACUGGGAUAACUUCGGGAAACCGGAGCUAAUACCGGAUAAUAUAUUGAACCGCAUGGUUCAAUAGUGAAAGACGGUUUUGCUGUCACUUAUAGAUGGAUCCGCGCCGCAUUAGCUAGUUGGUAAGGUAACGGCUUACCAAGGCAACGAUGCGUAGCCGACCUGAGAGGGUGAUCGGCCACACUGGAACUGAGACACGGUCCAGACUCCUACGGGAGGCAGCAGUAGGGAAUCUUCCGCAAUGGGCGCAAGCCUGACGGAGCAACGCCGCGUGAGUGAUGAAGGUCUUCGGAUCGUAAAACUCUGUUAUUAGGGAAGAACAAAUGUGUAAGUAACUAUGCACGUCUUGACGGUACCUAAUCAGAAAGCAACGGCUAACUACGUG